AAACUGAAUACGGACAGGUGAGUGUUGGGCAGGGAGUGCCUCAGGCAUUCCUCCCCUGCCUCUCAGGAACUGACAGCUCAGAAACCCUAAAUGUCUGUCACCAGCUUAACCAAGGAAACCUACGUACAAGUGACCAAGUGGCAUAUCUUCCAGGCACCCUGAAGUGUGCAUUAAACACAGACGGCUCUUCCUCUAAGUGCACUUACUUGCUGAACACACAAUAGACUGUAGCACAUAGGUGUUUCGAUUUGUAAAGAUUAAAAAUGGAUAAAUAUAGCAAUUUCAGGGGAAAAUGUAGCGAUUCAGCUGAAGUAAACAUGGAAAAAUCAACACUGCAACGGGAGUCUAGAUGGGCUGGGAAGGAAAAUCACAUGAGACUUCGUUGGUGUCCUGGGAGGACAGGAUGAGCACUUCCACCCUCGAGUGCAUUUGUAUUUCAGGACUUCCAGUUGAGUGGUGUCCACAGCAGGUCACUGAGAUGUGAGCGUGGAGAGAGGAGCCUGCAUGACCAGACUAGAACUCAGGGAGCUGGCGCUUCUCAAAUUCCUGUUGAUCCAAAGCAAAUUCACCUCAGAAGGGGAGAGCGCACUUACUGCCAAGAGAAGACUGUGACUCACACCUCGAAUAGACCGUCUUUCUUUUUGCAAGGAGGAGGCCCGGAAGGAUGUCUCACUGGGAUCUCGGGGAGCACAUGAGACAGCAGAGGCACCCAGGAAGAGGUGGGAGAGUGGUGAAGUAAGACCAAUGAGAAGUACAUCGUAAUUCACUAUAGCAAAUGUUAACCAUUUCUGGAAAAGGGAAGUCCUGCCAACUAACUACUGGUGCAGCUGUUAAGCUGGGUUGGUGGAGGCCUGUAGCUGCUGCAAGGUGUUUGUGUUUUCAGGUUUCCUUCUACAGCAUGAGGGCCCCUACUUCCCUUUCUGGAUGCCCCUACACUUCAGUAACUCAAUAUGGAGGAGAUUUCUCUGCUCCCAAACACCAGCAGGAAGAGAGAAACUGUGAAGGCAGUCGGUCUGCAUCACAGUUGUUGUGGUCACCCCCGCACUGUGUCCCUGUCCACACCAUGCCACCCAUGAUGGCGUGGCAGCCACUUUUCACCUGCAAGGACACCGAUCGUAGGUAAAUAUUUAUUUUCGAAAAUUGCUUCCUAAAACAGGACAUGAUACGGGACUGGCUGGGUUUGAGCUCAAGCUGACUCAUGAGGAAGCAAGACUAACAUUUUCCUAGAGGGUGAACUCAAAAUUCCACAAGCUCAGCCUCCCACCGUCUGAGCACAGUGCAAACUUUGCUAUCCUCCUGAAAAGUUG
rnacentral:lncRNA from 1 species